rnacentral:rRNA from 1 species
UGAGGAAUAUUGCACAAUGGGCGAAAGCCUGAUGCAGCAACGCCGCGUGAGGGACGAAGGCCUUCGGGUCGUAAACCUCUUUUCUGAGAGAAGAGCAAGGACGGUAUCUCAGGAAUAAGUCUCGGCUAACUACGUGCCAGCAGCCGCGGUAAAACGUAGGAGGCGAGCGUUAUCCGGAUUUACUGGGCGUAAAGCGCGCGCAGGCGGCCUGAUAAGUUGGCUGUGAAAGCUCCUGGCUUAACUGGGAGAGGUCGGUCAAGACUGUUGGGCUUGAGGUUGGGAGAGGGGUAUGGAAUUCCCGGUGUAGUGGUGGAAUGCGUAGAUAUCGGGAGGAACACCAGUGGCGAAGGCGGUACCCUGGCCCACACCUGACGCUGAGGUGCGAAAGCGUGGGUAGCAAACAGG